UGAUGUCGGUUCCUCCUCCUGUCUGCAGUGAAUCAGGAGGAUUUUACGACAUCACAGAGAAAGUCGGGUCUUUUUCACCCAGGAAGCUUCGGGCUGCAACUGUCCAUAAAAACAGCUUCCUGGUUUUGCAGGACCCAACAAAC
rnacentral:snoRNA from 1 species